ACCUCCCACCCGUGUUUACUGUACCUUAGUUGCUUCGGCGGGCCCGCCAUUCAUGGCCGCCGGGGGCUCUCAGCCCCGGGCCCGCGCCCGCCGGAGACACCACGAACUCUGUCUGAUCUAGUGAAGUCUGAGUUGAUUGUAUCGCAAUCAGUUAAAACUUUCAACAAUGGAUCUCUUGGUUCCGGCAUCGAUGAAGAACGCAGCGAAAUGCGAUAACUAGUGUGAAUUGCAGAAUUCCGUGAAUCAUCGAGUCUUUGAACGCACAUUGCGCCCCCUGGUAUUCCGGGGGGCAUGCCUGUCCGAGCGUCAUUGCUGCCCAUCAAGCACGGCUUGUGUGUUGGGUCGUCGUCCCCUCUCCGGGGGGGACGGGCCCCAAAGGCAGCGGCGGCACCGCGUCCGAUCCUCGAGCGUAUGGGGCUUUGUCACCCGCUCUGUAGGCCCGGCCGGCGCUUGCCGAACGCAAAUCAAUCUUUUCCAGGUUGACCUCGGAUCAGGUAGGGAUACCCGCUGAACUUAAGCAUAUCA
rnacentral:rRNA from 1 species